rnacentral:rRNA from 1 species
GACGAACGCUGGCGGCGUGCUUAACACAUGCAAGUCGAACGGACAGGCCCUGCUUUUGUGGGGUGCUCGAGUGGCGAACGGGUGAGUAACACGUGAGUAACCUGCCCUUGACUUUGGGGUAACUUCACGAAACUGGGGCUAAUACCGGAUAGGAUAUCCUGCUGCAUGGUGGGGGUUGGAAAGUUUCGGCGGUUGGGGAUGGACUCGCGGCUUAUCAGCUGGUUGGUGGGGUAGUGGCUUACCAAGGCUUUGACGGGUAGCCGGCCUGAGAGGGUGACCGGCCACAUUGGGACUGAGAGACGGCCCAGACUCCUACGGGAGGCAGCAGUGGGGAAUAUUGCACAAUGGGCGGAAGCCUGAUGCAGCAACGCCGCGUGCGGGAUGACGGCCUUCGGGUUGUAAACCGCUUUCGCCUGUGACGAAGCGUGAGUGACGGUAAUGGGUAAAGAAGCACCGGCUAACUACGUG